UGGGGAAUUUUGGACAAUGGGGGAAACCCUGAUCCAGCAACGCUGCGUGGAGGACGAAGGUCUUCGGAUUGUAAACUCCUUUUGCAGGGGACGAAUGACGCCGCAAGGCGUUUUGACGGUACUCUGCGAAUAAGCCACGGCUAACUACGUGCCAGCAGCCGCGGUAAGACGUAGGUGGCAAGCGUUACUCGGAAUUACUAGGCGUAAAGCGCGUGUAGGCGGGUGUCUAAGUCUGUCGUUAAAUCUCCGAGCCCAACUCGGAAAGGUCGACAGAUACUGGAUGUCUUGAGUAAGGCAGAGGAAGCUGGAAUUCCCGGUGUAGCAGUGAAAUGCGUAGAUAUCGGGAGGAACACCAGUGGCGAAGGCGGGCUUCUGGGCCUUUACUGACGCUAAGACGCGA
rnacentral:rRNA from 1 species